rnacentral:rRNA from 1 species
AUUGAACGCUGGCGGCAGGCCUAACACAUGCAAGUCGAACGGAGCGGCAGACGGGUGCGUAAUGCCUAUGAAUCUGCCAGGUCGUGGGGGAUGACGUUCACUAAUGGGCGCUAAUACUGCAUCCUAUCAGAUUCUCCUAGGUCGGAUUAGCUAUUUGGUGUGGGAAAGGCCUACCAAGGCGACGAUCCGUAACUGGUCCGAGAGGAUGAUCAGUCACACUGGAACUGAGCAACGGUCCAGACUCCUACGGGAGGCAGCAGUGGGGAAUAUUGGACAAUGGGCGAAAGACUGAUCCAGCCAUGCCGCGUGUGUGAAGAAGGUCUUCGGAUUGUAAAGCACUUUAAGUUGGGAGGCGUUACCAACAGAAUAAGCACCGGCUAACUUCGUGCCAGCCGCCGCGGUAAUUC